GACGAACGCUGGCGGCGCGCUUAACACAUGCAAGUCGAGCGAAGCGGCGGACGGGUGAGUAACACGUGAGUAACCUGCCUUAGACAUUGGGAUAGCCUCGGGAAACCGGGAUUAAUACCAAAUGGUCUAAGAUGGACUCGCGUCCCAUUAGCUAGUUGGUGGGUAACGGCCCACCAAGGCGAAGAUGGGUAGCCGGCCUGGGAGGGUGAGCGGCCACAUUGGAGCUGAGCAACAGUGCAAAAUCUGCGGGAGGCAGCAGUGGGGGAUGUUGCACAAUGGAGGGAACGCUGAUGCAGCGAGGGCGCGUAAACGAAGAAGGCUUUCGAGACGUAAAGGACUUUUAUAUGGGAAACGGUACCAUAAGAAAAAGCCCCGGCUAACUACGUGCCAGCCGCCGCGGUAAUUC
rnacentral:rRNA from 1 species